rnacentral:rRNA from 1 species
UACGUAGGGCGCAAGCGUUAUCCGGAAUUCUUGGGCGUAAAGAGCUCGUAGGUGGUUUGUCGCGUUGUCCGUGAAAACUCACAACUCAAUUGUGGGCGUGCGGGCGAUACGGGCAGACUGGAGUACUGCAGGGGAGACUGGAAUUCCUGGUGUAGCGGUGGAAUGCGCAGAUAUCAGGAGGAACACCGGUGGCGAAGGCGGGUCUCUGGGCAGUAACUGACGCUGAGGAGCGAAAGCGUGGGGAGCGAACAGG